rnacentral:sRNA from 1 species
AAUUCAUUCCACUCGCACCUAGCACGCUUUCAGGGCAUUUAAAAUUCUGCUCAAAGGUCGGCACAGGCCCUUCAGCCUUCCAGGUUGUUUUAGUGCCAUUUGUGCGUUAUUUUUAUAAAGUUACCUCAUGAAUUAUUCAUAAACGAAGCAGACGUAGCGUAAAACAGCGAUUACCAUAAAUUACAAUUGAAAUGGGGAAAGCAUUCUGCUCCGUUCUGUUCUGUUCCAGAACAAAUGGCUAAGCAAAUUAACUCUGGCCCUGAAAUGAACAAUACAGAGAGCUCUUGGCUCAUGUUUAAUGCACUUGACAGUGCCAGACCCCCGGUUCCUGGUUGCUGGUCGGGAAAACUUCAAGGCAACCCCCAAAAGUUAUGACUUUUACGCCCCAUUAUCGCUUAAAUAAUUUAGUCGGCCAAAGGAAAGGAAAACAACACGAAAAAAGGGAAAAUUGCUAGGAAAAAAAUUCAAAGAAAAAAUCUCUCAUAACUUGUGGUCUUUCCAGAGAGAGAGAGUGAGAGAGAAGAAAAAGAGUAAACGGGCAAAAAGGCCUGCAUUUAUAAAGAGCCAAAUUAACCGCAAUUAGAUUUUUGGAAAAGCGCGGUCAGAGGAAAAUUACAAUUAACCGUUUUCAGCAUGUGAAAUCUGAAUAAUCAAGUGGCAAGAAGAAAUCCCCGUCGAAGGGAUUGACGCAGCGGCAACGGGCAGGCCAACGCUCUCAAACAAGGUACAGUGCAAACACGCUGACACCCCUCCCCGCCUUCCUGCAAGCAAAGGGUUCGCUAAUUAAAAAAAUAGAAUGUUUUUCGACCUUUAAAGAUGCUGGUAGGACCCCACCUCCUGCUCCGUCUCGUUAACAUCUUCGGAAUGGGAUGGAUUCCUGUGAUGCAUGGCCAUGAAGUGUGAAAAAUUCAGCCUCAUUUUUAAAUAGACGCUCCACCAUUAUUUCAUUUUUCUA